rnacentral:lncRNA from 1 species
AAAGCUCAAAAUAGCAAAAGAAAAACACAAGGGGAAAAAAUUAAAGGUACCAGUUUAUUGACAGUCCCAGAUUGGACAUAAACAUACACUUUUCCAUAUUAUAUUUCUUCUUUACAGAGGUCAGUCGAAGAAGGCAGAUCUGGUCUAUAAGGUUUAACCUAGAGAAUUCAUGAUAGCCCUAAGGCACCUCCCUCCAAGAGAGGUCGAUAUCCC